rnacentral:lncRNA from 1 species
CCUCGGGGCCACCGCCGCCGCCACCGCUGUCUCCUCCACCUGCUUCCCGGCCUGGGAGGGGGGUCAGGGUCAGAGGCCGUCCGGGACCCUCGGGGGGCAGAUGCGGCCCCGAAGGCCCGUCCCCCUCCCCCGGAGAACCCUUCCACCCCAGACGUGCUGCGGGAAGGCCUUGUCAGCGGAUUGGCUCCCUCCGGGUCCAGGGACUCCGGCUGAAGCGAUCUGCGACGUGCGCACGUGGUACGGGAAGUUCUUGUUGGCCGCUGAUGGGCGGGUCAUGAUCUGAGGCCAGGGCCAGGAGCAGGUGUGAGAGGCACUGUCAGGCCGGAGGCUGUCCCCAUAAACUUGGGGUCCGAAGGAUUCCCUUUCAGUUGACAUCCACCACACUUCCCUGAAGCCAUUCACACUGGAUUAGGCGUCCCCUCUGGGCUCUCCAAAUGCCCUGGACCCUCACCUUUUCCCUUCAACAAAACUCGGCCUGUGCUUCCUCCAUCAGAGGCCUGAUCACUGAGCUGUCACUGAUUGCUUAGGGUCAGCGUCCUGCACUGUAUGAUAGCCACUGGCUGCAUGUAGCUUAAAUUUAAUCAAAAUAAAAUUUAAAUUUUGGUCACACUCCUCACUACACACUCACUAUGCACUACCCACAUUCAAGUGCUCAACAGCCACAUGUGGUUAGUAGCUCCCAUAUUGGAAAGUGCAGGUAAUAGGAUAUUUUCAUAAAUACAGAAAGUUCAAUUGGACAGCAACUAAUAGACUCUAAAAUGUCUCGAUGAGGCAGGAACCAGACUCUUCUGUUCCCUACUGAGUCCCUAGUACCUUCUAGAACCAUGCCUGGCGCAUAUAAGCCUUCAGUAAAUAUUGGUGGGCAAGGCGCCAUGGCUCACGCCUGUAAUCCCAGCACUUGGGGAGGCCGAGGCGGGCGGAUCACCUGAGGUCAGGAGUUUGAGACCAGCAUGGCCAACAUGGUGAAACUCCAUCUCUACUAAAAAUACAAAAAUUAGCCAGGUGUGGUGGUGCGCCUGUAAUCCCAGCUACUUGGGAGGCUAAGGCAGGAGAAUUGCUUGAACCCAGGAGGCAGAGGUUGCAGUGAGCCGAGAUCAUGCCACUGCACUCCAACCUGGACGACAGAGGAAGAUUCCAUCUCAAAAAAAAAAAAUUUAAAAUAAAUAAAUAAAUAAAUAAAUAUUGGUGGAAUGUAGGGAUGUCUGGUACCAGUUAGUCUGAUAGGCUGUGAAGGCAGGGACUGGGUGUGACUCCACCGCCAUAUCCCGGAAACCUAACACAGCUCUUCUAAGGUUGUGCUGAAAAAAAUGAACAAGGAGCUGAAAGCAAUGAGCGUUGAGAUACCCAGGUGGAGCUGUGCUGAGCUAACGUGAGCAUCCUUAGGAAGGAAGCUGGCUGAGAUACAGCAGGAAGGGCGCUGUGCUUGCCGUUCUGAGCCUGCAUCCCGCCUCUGGGAUCUGUAGCUCACUGAGUAUGGGAUCUGGGGCAUGUUGAUUAAACUCCCUGAGCCUCGCUGUGGGGAAAAGGGACUGUAGCGCCUACUUGGAAAGAUGAGAGGGUGGAAAUGAAAACCACUGGUGCAGAGCCCAGCACAUGAUGGGUUCUCAGCAUUUCUCCUCUUUCUGUCCCUUUCUGACUUCCUGCAGAGCUUCAGGAUAGACCAGCCUGGGAAGGUGAGCGAGUCUGUACCUAUGUCAGCCUCUGAGGCAAAGGAUGGGGACCUGUCCCCUCCCUCGGUGGCUGGGCCCACUCCCUACACGGGGUACGUUGUAGAUCCCUGGAGUCAGAAGCUGGGACACUGGGUCAUGCCUGUUGCCCUUUCUGGUUCCCCUUCAUUUCAGACCUUGUGGUCUGCUGGAGAAGGAUAGGGUUCAAAGUAUUUGCCUGCCGCCAAAGGCCACGGAGCCCUGGCACGUCACUUCUCCUCUCUGGGCCUUAGCUUCCCCGCUCUGUGUAGUGGGAACAAUGUCAAUUAUCCACCCUCUCCUGGAGCUGCUCUGACAAUUAAACAAGAGGGCAGGAGUAAAUGCAUAUGGAUGUUCCUAGAAUGAAACAGACUGGUUCAAGACAGGUGCCCAGUGAACAAUUGAUGAAUAAAUUAAUGAAUAUUAGAACUGUCACCAAGAAUGUCAGAUAGGAUGUGAACCAGGGCAAAGAAUAGACGUGGUGGGGGCCAGGCGCAGUGGCUCACUCCUGUAAUCCCAGCACUUUGGGAGGCCGAGGCGGGCGGAUCAUGAGGUCAGGAGAUCGAGACCAUCCUGGCCAACAUAGUGAAACCCCGUCUCUACUAAAAAUACAAAAAAAAUUUGCUAGGCGUGGUGGUGGGCGCCUGUAGUCCCAGCUACUAGGGAGGCUGAGGCAGGGGAAUGGCAUGAACUUGGGAGGCAGAAGUUGCAGUGAGCCGAGAUCGCACCUCUGCACU